rnacentral:rRNA from 1 species
CUGGCCGUAAACGAUGGAUGCCAGGUGUGCGUGCAGAGAUGCAUACGUGCCGCAGUCAACGCGAUAAGCAUCCCGCCUGGGGAGUACGGUCGCAAGAUUGAAACUCAAAGGAAUUGACGGGGGCCCGCACAAGCGGUGGAGCACGUGGUUUAAUUCGAUGCAAACCGAAGAACCUUACCCGGGUUUGACAUGCGCGUGGUACCGAGAUGAAAGUCGAGGGACCCGUUCGUAAGGAUGGGAGCGCGCACAGGUGC